rnacentral:lncRNA from 1 species
GACAUUGAGCCCUAAAGGAAGAUUUCCAGCCAGGGGGCACCGAGGUAAAGUAAACCCUGAAUAGGAAUAGAUGCAUUGAAGGCCACUAGGGAGAUUCAGAUAAUGUGACUUGGUGUUUGAUAAGGCAGUGAUGUCAUUCUGACUGCAGCCACCACUGUCGGGUUGCGAUCAAACUAUGAUGACCUAUGAGAGCACCAUGAUGCUCUGGAUUCUCUUUGUUCUUUCCCAGUAGAGGAAUCCCAAGGAGGACUGAUCCGUUUUGGCAGGUGCACAACCAUGGUUCGCACUUAAGUAUCUCUGGUGAGAUGCCCCACGGACAGCUUUACACAGCACACUAGGAGGUGGGCUUCUUGAAGAUCCAUUACCAUGGCUUACUCGCAGAGUCCUUUCAGACGAUUGGCCCUGAGCUAACAUCUGUUGCCAAUCUUCCUCUUUUUGCUUGAAGAAGAUUGUUGCUGAGCUAACAUCUGUGCCAAUCUUGCUCUGCUUUAGUGGGAAUGCUGCUGCAGUGUGGCCUGAUGAGAGCUGAUAGCUCCCACCUGAGAUCAGAACCUGCAAACCUUGGGUGACCGAAGCAGAGCACAUGAACUUAACCACUGUGUGCCACAGAGCUGGCCCCAACCAUCUCAGCUUUCAAUUGGAGUACUUCAUACAUUUCAAAUUUAAUUCAAUUAUUGAUAUUGUUAACUUUUUAUCUCCCAUUUUGCUGUUUCCUAUGUCUUAUGUGUUUUUGUGCCUU